rnacentral:ncRNA from 2 species
CUCUGGAGAGCGGCGCACGCUUCUGGCCAAGCGCCCACCGAUGGGGCAAGGCGGCUGCAAAUGACGAUUGCAGCCCGACAAUCUCUCAGGUAAAUGGACAGGG